rnacentral:rRNA from 1 species
CGCUCUUUGGAAUGUAUGAAUUGAAUAUAGGGAGUCGGACCUGCCCAGUGACAUGCGUGUUAAACGGCCGCGGUACCCUGACCGUGCAAAGGUAGCAUAAUCAUUUGCCUUUUAAUUGGAGGCUUGUAUGAAUGGUUUGACGAGAGCUAAGCUGUCUCUUUUUGAAUAUUUAGAAGUUAAUUUAUAGGUGAAGAGGCCUAUAUGUAUUUGAGGGACAAGAAGACCCUGUUGAGUUUGAGUGAAAAUAAAAGUGAGUAGUGUUUACUAGGUUUAUUACGGACUGUAUAUGUGUAUAAGUUAAGGUUUUAUUUAAUCUUUAGUUGGGGCGACUGAGGAGCAUGAAAAGCAUCCUUUAAGAAUAAUUUAUGGUUUAUGAAUUAGUUUGAUCCAGUUGUUAUUGAUUAAGGGAAAAAAUUACCACAGGGAUAACAGCGUAAUCUUCUUGGAGAGUUCUUAUUGAAAAGAGGGUUUGCGACCUCGAUGUUGGACUAAGAUAUCCUAGGGGUGUAGAGGCUUCUGAGGGUUGGUCUGUUCGACCAUUAAAAUCUU